rnacentral:rRNA from 1 species
UACGGGGGGGGGCAAGCGUUGUUCGGAAUUACUGGGCGUAAAGGGUGCGUAGGCGGCUUUCUAAGUCGGAUGUGAAAACUCGGGGCUUAACCCCGGGCCUGCAGUGGGUACGGGCAGACUAGAGUGCGGUAGGGGAGACUGGAAUUCCUGGUGUAGCGGUGAAAUGCGCAGAUAUCAGGAGGAACACCGGUGGCGAAGGCGGGGUCUCUGGGCCGUAACUGACGCUGGAGGAGCGAAAGCCGUGGGGAGCGAACAGG